rnacentral:rRNA from 1 species
UACAGAGGUCUCAAGCGUUGUUCGGAUUCAUUGGGCGUAAAGGGUGCGUAGGUGGCGCGGUAAGUCGGGUGUGAAAUUUCGGAGCUUAACUCCGAAACUGCAUUCGAUACUGCCGUGCUUGAGGACUGGAGAGGAGACUGGAAUUUACGGUGUAGCAGUGAAAUGCGUAGAGAUCGUAAGGAAGACCAGUGGCGAAGGCGGAUCUCUGGACAGCUCCUGACGCUGAGGCGCGAAGGCUAGGGGAGCAAACGGG